GAUAAACGCUGGCGGCGCACAUAAGACAUGCAAGUCGAACGGAAGUCGUUAUAAAAGGAGAGAAGAUUUAUCGGAUUGAAUUUUAUAACAAUGGCUUUAGUGGCGGACUGGUGAGUAACGCGUAAGGAACCUACCUAUUAGAGGGGAACAACAAUGAGAAAUCAUUGCUAAUACCGCAUAUGCCAUAACUACCGCAUGGUAGAAGUGGGAAAGGAGCAAUCCGNUGAUAGAUGGCCUUGCGUCUGAUUAGUUAGUUGGUGGGUAACGGCCUACCAAGACGACGAUCAGUAGCCGGACUGACGAGGUUGAACGGCCACAUGGGACUGAGAUACGGCCCAGACUCCUACGGAGCAGCAGUAGG
rnacentral:rRNA from 1 species